GACGAGCGCUGGCGGCGUGCCUAAUACAUGCAAGUAGAACGCUGAAGGAGGAGCUUGCUUCUCUGGAUGAGUUGCGAACGGGUGAGUAACGCGUAGGUAACCUGCCUGGUAGCGGGGGAUAACUAUUGGAAACGAUAGCUAAUACCGCAUAAUAGUAGAUGUUGCAUGACAUUUGCUUAAAAGGUGCAAUUGCAUCACUACCAGAUGGACCUGCGUUGUAUUAGCUAGUUGGUGAGGUAACGGCUCACCAAGGCGACGAUACAUAGCCGACCUGAGAGGGUGAUCGGCCACACUGGGACUGAGACACGGCCCAGACUCCUACGGGAGGCAGCAGUAGGGAAUCUUCGGCAAUGGACGGAAGUCUGACCGAGCAACGCCGCGUGAGUGAAGAAGGGUGUCGGAUCGGAAAGCUCUGUUGUAAGAGAAGAACGAGGGUGAGAGUGGAAAGUUCACACUGUGACGGUAUCUGAACAGAAAGGGACGGCUAACUACGUG
rnacentral:rRNA from 1 species